GGUGGAGGUGGAUAUUCAAAUUACGGAACCACCCACGGCAACAGAAUAGCUCAGAUCGUAUCUCCAAUAGUUUCUGUGGCUGUGGUCUCACUUAUUGGAGCAGCGACAAGUUAUUGUGCAUACCAGAAGAGGAGAAGUUGUUUCAGAACAGAUGACCCUGUGAACGUCUGAGAGACAGAAACCAGAAGCCUACAAGCCCGGCCCGAGGCUUGAGUGAUAUUUGCCAUUCACUUGGAAAAACGUUAUAGAGCAGGAAUCCGAUGGGGUCGUACCCACCAAUCUGAAAAUCUUUCCUUCCCUUUACUCUCUCUCUCUCUCUUUUUUCUGGAUGAUGUUUGUUAAGUGCUUACUAUGUGCUAAGCGC